rnacentral:rRNA from 1 species
UAGUUGAAUGAAAUUACGUAUAAGAUGUAGGUUUUUAAUAAAUUUAUUUAUAGCUGUGAAGGAUUAAUAAAAUUUUUAUUAGUAUUUAUUUUAAGUGUACCUUUUGUAUCAGGGUUAAUUAAAAUAGUUUUAAAAUUAAAAUUUCUAGAAAUAAAAAGACUUAUUUUUAUAUAGAAUUAAUGUGGUAAAAUUAAGUUUUAAUAUAAAAAUGUAUUUGAUAUAAAUAAAGAUUUUUAAUAUCUAGUUAGUUAGUUUAUUAAUUUAAUUAAUUAAUAUUAAAGAUUUUAAUAUUUUAAUAUAAAAAUUUGUUUAAGGAUAAGCUUUUACAAAUUUCAUAGAUUAUUUUUUGAUUCAUAUUAUAAUCUUAAAAUUAGAUAUUCUAAUAAAUUUUAGUCAAAACUUGAGUUAAAUUAUUUAAAAAAAAAUUCUUGGUUCUUUUUUAACUUGUUUAAUUUAAUAUUAUAUUUUUAAUAAAAAUGAUUGAAUGAGUAGAUUAAUUAAGUACUUAUUAAGAAUUCGGCACAAAUAGAAUUUUGCCUGUUUAUCAAAAACAUCUCUGGGAGAAUGAUGUUUUUAGUAUAACCUGCUCUAUGCUUUAUUGUGAAUAGCUGCAGUAUAUUGACUGUACAAAGGUAGCAUAAUCAUUAGUUUUUUAAUUGAAAGCUAGAAUGAAUGGUUGGACAUAAGUUUAUCUUUUUUGUUUGUACAAUAAUUGAAAUUAAUUAUUGGGUUAAAAAGCCUAAAUAUUAUAAAGGGACGAUAAGACCCUAUAGAAUUUAAAAUAUGUUAUGGAAAGAAUAUUUUUAGUUGGGGUGACUAGAAAAAAACUUUUCUAAUUUAUUUCAUAUUUAUAUGAUUUUAUGAUCUUUAAUUUUUGAUAAUUAGAUUUAAUUACCUUAGGGAUAACAGCAUAAUAUUUCUUUUAAGAUCAUAUUUAAAGAAAUGAUUAUGACCUCGAUGUUGAAUUAAGAUAAUAUCUAGGUGCAGAAGUUUAGAUAUAUAGUCUGUUCGACUUUAUAAUUUUACAUGAUUUGAGUUCAAACCGGCGUGAGCCAGGUUGGUUUCUAUCUUUUAAAAGUUUUAUUUUAGUACGAAAGGAUUGAGUAAAAGAAUUUUUAUUUAAAUAAUUAGACUGACACUUCUAUUUU